UACGGGGGGGGCAAGCGUUGUUCGGAAUUACUGGGCGUAAAGGGCUCGUAGGUGGCCAACUAAGUCGGACGUGAAAUCCCUCGGCUUAACCGGGGAACUGCGUCCGAUACUGGUUGGCUUGAGUUUGGGAGAGGGAUGCGGAAUUCCAGGUGUGGCGGUGAAAUGCGUAGGUAUCUGGAGGAACACCGGUGGCGAAGGCGGCAUCCUGGACCAAUACUGACGCUGAGGAGCGAAAGCCAGGGGAGCAAACGGG
rnacentral:rRNA from 1 species